UACAGAGGGGGCAAGCGUUGUUCGGAAUUACUGGGCGUAAAGGGCGCGUAGGCGGCCUGCUAAGUCGAACGUGAAAUCCCCGGGCUCAACCCGGGAACUGCGUCCGAUACUGGUUGGCUUGAAUCCGGGAGAGGGAUGCGGAAUUCCAGGUGUAGCGGUGAAAUGCGUAGAUAUCUGGAGGAACACCGGUGGCGAAGGCGGCAUCCUGGACCAACACUGACGCUGAGUGAGCGAAAGCCAGGGGAGCAAACGGG
rnacentral:rRNA from 1 species